rnacentral:rRNA from 1 species
GGAGGCCACCGCUAUUGGAAUCCGAUUAAGACAUGUGAGUCGAGGGUCUUCGGGACUCGGCAGACGGCUCAGUAACACGCGGAUAAUCUGCCCUUGGGUGGGGAAUAAUCUCGGGAAACUGAGCAUAAUACCCCAUAGGCCUGAGAUGCUGGAACGCCCUCAGGCUAAAAGCUCCGGCGUCCAAGGAUGAGUCUGCGGCCUAUCAGCUUGUAGUUGGUGUAAAUGACCAACUAGGCGACGACGGGUACGGGCAUUGGGAGAUGUAGCCCGGAGAUGGACUCUGAGACACGAGUCCAGGCCCUACGGGGCGCAGCAGUCGCGAAAACUUCACAAUGUGGGAAACCGCGAUGAGGGGAUUCCAAGUGCUUGCGUUUUGCGUAAGCUGUUCUCCUGCCUAAAAAGCAGGGGGAGUAAGGGCUGGGUAAGACGGGUGCCAGCCGCCGCGGUAAUACCCGCAGCCCAAGUGGUGGUCGAUAUUAUUGAGCUUAAAGCGUCCGUAGCCUGUCUGGUAAAUUCUUGGGUAAAUCGUGCAGCUUAACUGUCCGAAUUCCGGGGAGACUGCCAGACUUGGGACCGGGAGAGGUUGGAGGUACUCCUGGGGUAGGGGUAAAAUCCCGUAAUCCUGGGAGGACCAUCAGUGGCGAAGGCGUCCAACUGGAACGGAUCCGACGGUCAGGGACGAAGCCCUGGGUCGCGAACCGGAUUAGAUACCCGGGUAGUCCCAGCUGUAAANAAAACAGGCUANGUGUUGGCGCGGCUACGUGCC